UUUCUGUAGAGGGUGGUUUUUUCCUUCCAACUUUUUACCAUGAAAGUGUUUAGACUGAAAUUCAAAGCCGAAUUCACCAGUGAGAGCCGACGGUGUGCGGUGUCACGGGGGUAGCUUGAGAUGAGCCACGGUGAGUGUCUUUACCCGGUGGCAAGCGACAGACACUGCAGAUCAGGACUUUUCCGGAGAGUAGCUGGCCGGUGAGCACUCAGCAGCACUCACGCUGGGCACUGGGUCCCAGCAGCACCCCACCUCUAUCUAGCCUUACUGCCUUCCCAGCUGGGGGGAGCCUCCUCCUUUCCGGGCUGCCUCCCCGGUCCACCGAGCAUCCUCUUCACACACGGGGAAAAGCGCAGCAAAGGCCAAGUGGAGAAAGACAUCUUCAGGACAGAAGGGAAACCUUGAUCCGGACUCCCCUCUGGGCACCCUCUGCUCACACUCCCUGCCCUGGGGCCUUGGAAGACCCAGACCCUCAUUGCCAAGGUUUCCUGAGUGGCAGCUAUGGCAACCAGCCGGGAACCGUGGUUGUCCUUGGAGGAGCCCGCAGGCUGGGCCCGCCCUCCCUGGCCUAGCAUCUCCUCCUUACCAGCCUGGGCCAAACGGAGCAGGUCUGGGUCAUAGGUGAGGAGCCCCGAGUUAAGGAAACCUUUGAUCACAUAAGGGAGCUGCCGGCAAUCCUGCCCAACCCUGGUCUGCAAGGAAGAUGUUAUCUUUUUACCCCAGAAGAAUCUUCUUUGGAAGACAAGCGGCCCCACGUGAGCAUGGAGGCCGGUGCUGGAGGGGUUUAUUGGAUUGAUUGCCAGG